GAUGAACGCUGACAGAAUGCUUAACACAUGCAAGUCAACUUGAACUUCGGUUUGGGUGGCGGACGGGUGAGUAACGCGUAAAGAACUUGCCUCACAGAUAGGGACAACAUUUGGAAACGAAUGCUAAUACCUGAUAUUAUGAUUUUAGGGCAUCCUAGAAUUAUGAAAGCUAUAUGCGCUGUGAGAGAGCUUUGCGUCCCAUUAGCUAGUUGGAGAGGUAACGGCUCACCAAGGCGAUGAUGGGUAGCCGGCCUGAGAGGGUGAUCGGCCACAAGGGGACUGAGACACGGCCCUUACUCCUACGGGAGGCAGCAGUGGGGAAUAUUGGACAAUGGACCGAGAGUCUGAUCCAGCAAUUCUGUGUGCACGAUGAAGUUUUUCGGAAUGUAAAGUGCUUUCAGUUGGGAAGAAAAAAAUGACGGUACCAACAGAAGAAGUGACGGCUAAAUACGUGCCAGCAGCCGCGGUAAUACGUAUGUCGCAAGCGUUAUCCGGAUUUAUUGGGCGUAAAGCGCGCCUAGGUGGUUAUGUAAGUCUGAUGUGAAAAUGCAGGGCUCAACUCUGUAUUGCGUUGGAAACUGUAUAACUAGAGUACUGGAGAGGUAAGCGGAACUACAAGUGUAGAGGUGAAAUUCGUAGAUAUUUGUAGGAAUGCCGAUGGGGAAGCCAGCUUACUGGACAGAUACUGACGCUAAAGCGCGAAAGCGUGGGUAGCAAACAGG
rnacentral:rRNA from 1 species